GGAGGUCCGAACCCACGAGCGUUGAAAAGCUCGGGGAUGACUUGUGGGUAGCGGUGAAAUUCCAAUCGAGCCCGGAGAUAGCUGGUUCUCCCCGAAAUAGCUUUAGGGCUAGCCUCAAGGUGAGAGAUACGGAGGUAGAGCACUGAAUGUCCUAGGGGGUAUUGCACCUACCGAAGACUAUCAAACUCCGAAUGCCGUCAUCUUAUACUUGGGAGUCAGACUGUGGGUGAUAAGAUUCAUAGUCGAAAGGGCAACAGCCCAGAUCGUCAGCUAAGGUCCCUAAAUGUAAGUUAAGUGGUAAAGGAUGUGGGAUUGCACAGACAACCAGGAUGUUGGCUUAGAAGCAGCCACUCAUUCAAAGAGUGCGUAAUAGCUCACUGGUCGAGUGAUCCUGCGCCGAAGAUUUCCGGGGCUAAAACUUACUACCGAAGCUACGGCAUCAGUAAUGAUGGGUAGGGGAGCUUCCCAUACGGGUUGAAGCAUGACCGUAAGGACAUGUGGACAGUAUGGGAGUGAGAAUGUUGGCAUGAGUAGCGAGAUGUGGGUGAGAAUCCCACAGGCCGUAAACCCAAGGUUUCCAGGGGAAGGUUCGUCCGCCCUGGGUUAGUCGGGACCUAAGCUGAGGCCGAAAGGCGUAGGGGAUGGACAACAGGUUGAUAUUCCUGUACUACCGAUAACCGUUUGAGAGAAGGGAUGACACAGUAGGAUAAGCUAAGCACACUGUUGGUUAUGUGUGCCCAAGCAUUGAGGCAGUCAAAGUAGGCAAAUCCGCUUUGAUAAUGCUGGGAUGUGAUGGGGAGCGAAAUUUAGUAGCGAAGUAGCUGAUUUCACACUGUCAAGAAAAGUCUCUAUCGAGGUUAAAGGUACCCGUACCGCAAACCGACACAGGUGGGUGAGGAGAGUAUCCUAAGGCCA
rnacentral:rRNA from 1 species